UUUAAAAGGCUGCAGUAUUUUAACUGUACUAAGGUAGCAUAAUAAUUAGUCUCUUAAUUGGGGACUUGUAUGAAUGAUUGGAUAAAAUAUAAACUGUCUUAAUUUAAUAUAAAAAAUUUAAUUUUUUUUUUAAAAAGAAAAAAUAUUCUUAAAAGACGAGAAGACCCUAUAGAGUUUUAUAAUUAGUUUAAUUAUUAAAAAUUAUAAAAUAUUAUUUAUAAUUUAAAUAAAUUAUUUUAUUGGGGUGAUAGUAAAAUAUAAUUAACUUUUAUUUUAAAAAACCAUAAAUUUAUGAUUAAUAUAUUUAUUUUUAUUUAAAGAUUAAAUUACCUUAGGGAUAACAGCGUAAUUUUUUUUUUUAGUUCUUAUAAAAAAAAAAGUUUGCAACCCCGAUGUUGGAUUAAAAUAUAAUUUAAAAGUAAAAAUUAAAAUUUUUAAUCUGUUCGAUUAUUAAAAUUUUACAUGAUCUGA
rnacentral:rRNA from 1 species